rnacentral:rRNA from 1 species
UACGUAGGCAGCAAGCGUUGUUCGGAUUUACUGGGCGUAAAGGGCGCGUAGGCGGCGUGACAAGUCACUUGUGAAAUCUCUGAGCUUAACUCAGAACGGCCAAGUGAUACUGUUGUGCUAGAGUGCAGAAAGGGCAAUCGGAAUUCUUGGUGUAGCGGUGAAAUGCGUAGAUAUCAAGAGGAACACCUGAGGCGAAGGCGGGUUGCUAGGCUGACACUGACGCUGAGGCGCGAAAGCUAGGGUAGCAAACGGG